UCAAGCAUCCUAUUUAGAGGAUGUAAAUUAUCAAUAUCUAAAGCUUCCUAAUAUACAAAUUCUGCUGGAUUGUGUGGAGUUCAGGAGUACAUCGAGGAGACUGCAAAAAUGGCUAAAAAGAGGCUCUUACUGUUGGUUUUAAUGCUACUGAUUAUGAGCUCUUGCUUGACAAAAUCCCAGGGGCCAUAUCCACCUCAAAUGGCCGAAAAGCUCAAUCUUGAGCAUGAGGAAGGGCAGCAGAAAACGGUAACGGAAACUUCAUAUCCUGAUUCUGAGGAUGGUCAACCUCACCACCGAUAUCCCGCACCAGCUGCCCUACAUAAGUAAUGAACUCUGGAAGGUGGUGACGAUAUCACUCCAAACCAAAUGUAUAUAACUAGCUUCCGCAAAUGUGUGUGUGUGUGUGUGUGGCGUGCACAUGUAGUGCUUUAAUGAAAUAUGUAUACCAUGAUAUGAUAAAUAAAACUGUGGUUUGGCUGUA